CAGGGAGACAACAAAAUGUUAAAUAUUAAUUUUGUCACCUUAGGUCGAUCGGUAUCUCACAUUCUUAAUUUAUUGAGGAUUUUAUUUCCUAAGUUUUUUUCUAGGUCACACCCAUUUUUUUCCUGGGCCAUUAGCUCAGGUGGUUAGAGCGCACCCCUGAUAAGGGUGAGGUCCCUGGUUCAAGUCCAGGAUGGCCCAUACUCUAUGUUGGGGGUAUAGCUCAGUUGGUAGAGCGCCUGCUUUGCAAGCAGGAUGUCAGCGGUUCGAGUCCGCUUACCUCCACUGAUUACCACCUCUUCCAUAAUUUAAAGAAGGGAAAUUUUUUAGGUGUGAUCAAAUUCUGAACGAAUCUAGCUUCCUAAUUUAAUUUCAUUAAGAUGCUGGACUCAUUGAAUUAAUUUCAUUGUUUUCAGAGAACCUUGACAACUGCAUAGAUUAUUUUUAAAGACAAUAAGCAUCUUUAUGAUGCAGAUUUAUUAUUUGUGCGAAUGCAUUAAUAACAAUUCUAUUAAGCUGAUGCUUCAAUUUUGAAGUUAUU
rnacentral:tRNA from 1 species